ACUCCUGCGGGAGGCAACAGUGGGGAAUAUUGGACAAUGGGCGCAAGCCUGAUCCAGCCAUGCCGCGUGAGUGAUGAAGGCCCUAGGGUUGUAAAGCUCUUUCACCGGUGAAGAUAAUGACGGUAACCGGAGAAGAAGCCCCGGCUAACUUCGUGCCAGCAGCCGCGGUAAUACGAAGGGGGCUAGCGUUGUUCGGAUUUACUGGGCGUAAAGCGCACGUAGGCGGACUAUUAAGUCAGGGGUGAAAUCCCGGGGCUCAACCCCGGAACUGCCUUUGAUACUGGUAGUCUUGAGUUCGAGAGAGGUGAGUGGAAUUCCGAGUGUAGAGGUGAAAUUCGUAGAUAUUCGGAGGAACACCAGUGGCGAAGGCGGCUCACUGGCUCGAUACUGACGCUGAGGUGCGAAAGCGUGGGGAGCAAACAGGAUUAGAAACCCGGGUAGUCCCAUG
rnacentral:rRNA from 1 species